rnacentral:misc_RNA from 1 species
UUAUUAUUAUUAUUAUUAUUGUGGCACAAAACUCUUGUGCACCUUGUUAUGGUUCUUUCAAAUGUUUUUUCAUAAGGCUGUUUAUUUUCAUGUUAUGUGAUCAAGAAAUUUAAGACUCACUCUGCAAUUAUACUAAAUGACUAACUAGUGGAUUGUAGUAAGGAUAUCACCUCCGUUCUUGACUAUAACGUCUUAGAUUACUCAUGCUUCUUGAAUACUAUAUUUUAUGAUCUACUAAUAAAUUUUCAUAGAUUCCCGUGGUAUUAAUUGAUUAUUGAAAUUUCCGCUGAUUCAAGUCAGGCUAUACACUGGAAUUCAUGCUAAAUCAAAACCUAAAUUCAAGUCAGGAGCUAUUUCUGAGUCAACUACGGCUUUGAAUUUUGAU